rnacentral:rRNA from 1 species
GAUGAACGCUGGCGGUCUGCUUAACACAUACAAGUCGAACGGGGUGCUUCGGCACCUAGUGGCGGACGGGUGAGUAACGCGUGAGGAUCUGCCCUUAGGACCGGGAUAACAGCUGGAAACGGCUGCUAAUACCGGAUGUGCCGGAAGGUGAAACAUUAAUGGCCUGAGGAUGAACUCGCGUCUGAUUAGCUAGUUGGUAGUGUAAUGGACUACCAAGGCGACGAUCAGUAGCUGGUCUGAGAGGAUGACCAGCCACACUGGGACUGAGACACGGCCCAGACUCCUACGGGAGGCAGCAGUGGGGAAUUUUCCGCAAUGGGGGCAACCCUGACGGAGCAAGACCGCGUGGGGGAAGAAGGUUUGUGGAUUGUAAACCCCUUUUGAUUGGGAAGAAGACAGUGACGGUACCAAUCGAAUCAGCAUCGGCUAACUCCGUGCCAGCCGCCGCUGUAAUAC